GCACGUAGUUAGCCGUGGCUUUCUGGUCAGAUACCGUCAAGGACUGGAGCAGUUACUCUCCAACUUGUUCUUCUCUGACAACAGAGUUUUACGAUCCGAAAACCUUCUUCACUCACGCGGCGUUGCUCCGUCAGACUUUCGUCCAUUGCGGAAGAUUCCCCA
rnacentral:rRNA from 1 species